ACCCUGCCGCUGGCACAGCCAUGUCACAAGAGCACAGCACUGCUGGGGGCUGCGUUCCAGAGCCAGCUUGGUGUCACAGCAGCCUGGAAUGCUGACCAGAAGGGCAGUGCCAGCCAGAGGGGGCUGCUGAGUACCCGAGUGAGCGAGGGCUGUGGGGGGCAGCAGCAGCCCAUGGCCAUGGAUGGCGGCUGCUCCUCCUCUGCCUCACAGCCACACACACGGACAGGGACACAGCAGCACGGCGAGAGCUCCUGUGCUCACCCACGGGACAGAUAAGUCACUCCCAACCCACACCCCACCUCACUCCGACAGGACCCGGGAAGCUCCCCAAGGACCCCCUGCCCUACCCCAAUGUUUGCCGCUGCUUCCCUGAGCCAUGGCCCCACUGCAGGAGCCGGCAUCAGACCUGCUGAUUGCAGUGACCCUUUCCACUCACGGCUAUAGCAAUGGCUGGCAGACCAACAACGGUGAGCAGGGCUGUGCAGGGGAGGGCAGCACAGGGAAGCAGGGCAGGAGGCUGCUCCUUUCUUCCCUCCCCUCUGCCUUGCAGAUGGACAGUCCAACACAAAUGGCAUCACAUGACUCAAUGUGCUGCAGCUCACCCACCAAACUGGUGUUCAUGCCAAGCAAAACAGAUAAGUCAGCUCCAUACUGCAGCCUGUCGUGCUCCUACAGGACCAUGGAAGCUCCCCAAGGUCCCGCUGGUCUUACCCCAAACCUCUUACUCUGCUAUGCUGAGUCCUGACCCCACUGCAGGUGCUGGCACCACACCAACUGAUUGCAGUGGCCGUGUCAACGUGGCGCUGCUGACACAGUGAGCCCCAAAUAGCCAAGGAAACCAUUUCCAGACCAGCAACACGGUGAGCAGUGCUGUGCAGGAGAGAGCAGCACAGGGAAGCAGGGCAGGAGGCUGCUCCUCUCGUGUAUCCCCGCUGCCUUGCAGAUGGGCAUUUGAACCAACAUGGAACCAGAGCAGGACACACACCUGCCGUCAGCUCUCCAUCUGGUCUCCAUGGCACACAGGACAGAUAAGUCAGCCUCAAACAGUGCCCUUAUAGGGAUGCUGGCACCUCCCCAAGAUCCCCUCGCCCUCACCUCAACAUUUGAUACAGCUUUGCUGAGCCCUGGCCCCAAUGCAGCUGCUGGCAUCAGACCUGCUGAUUGCAGUGGCCCUUUUCACACAGCCUUGGGGACACAGGCAGCCCCACAUGGCCAUGGCAAUGGCUGGCAGACCUGCAACCCGGUGAGCAGGGCUGUGCAGGGGAAGGCAGCACAGGGAAGCAGGGCAGGAGGCUGCCCCUCUCGUGCAUAUCCUCUGCCUUGCAGAUAGGCAUCAGCACCAAGAUGGAACCAGAGCAGGACACACGCCUGUCCUCAGCUCUCCAUCUGCUCUCCAUGCCACACAGGACAGAUAAGCCAGCCACAAGAAGUGCCCUUUCCAGGGAUCCCAGCAGGUCCCCAAGAUCCCCUCGCCCGCACCCCAAAGUUUGAUACAGCUUUCUUGAGCCCUGACCCCACUGCAGCUGCUGGCAUCAGACCUGCUGAUUGCAGUGGCCCUUUCCACACAGACUUGGGGACACAGGCAGCCCCACAUGGCCAUGGCAAUGACCGGUAGACCAGCAACAUGGUGAGCAGUGCUGUGUAGGGGAGGGCAGCACAGGGAAGCAGGGCAGGAGGCUGCUCCUUUCUUCCCUCCCCUCUGCCUUGCAGAUGGACAGCCCAACACAAAUGGCACCAGGUGACCAUAAGUCCUGCAGCUCAGCCCUCCAAUCUGCUGUUCAUGCCCUACAAAAAAGAUAAGUCAGCCCCAUACUGCAGCCUGUCGUGCUCCUACAGGACCAUGGAAGCUCCCCAAGGUCCCCCUCGUCUUACCCCAAACCUCUUACUCUGCUAUGCUGAGUCCUGACCCCACUGCAGGUGCUGGCACCACACCACCUGAUUGCAGUGGCCGUGUCAACGUGGUGUUGGUGACACAGUGAGCCCCAAAUGGCCAAGGAAACCAUUUUCGGACCAGCAACCCGGUGAGCAGUGCUGUGCAGGAGAGAGCAGCACAGGGAAGCAGGGCAGGAGGCUGCUCCUUUCUUCCUUGCCCUCUGCCUUGCAGGUGGGCAUCUGCACCAAGAUGGAACCAGAGCAGGACACACACCUGCCCUCAGCUCUCCAUCUGGUCUCCAUGCCAUACAGGACAGAUAAGUGCUGGCACCACACCACCUGAUUGCAGUGGCCCUUUCCACACAGCCUUGGGGACACAGGCAGCCCCACAUGGCCAUGGCAAUGGCAGGCAGACCUGCAACACGGUGAGCAGUGCUGUGCAGGGGAGGGCAGCACAGGGAAGCAGGGCAGGAGGCUGCUUCUUUCUUCCCUCCCCUCUGCCUUGCAGAUGGACAGCCCAACACAAAUGGCACCAGAUGACCAUAAGUGCUGCAGCUCAGCCCCCCCAAACUGGUAUUCAUGCCCUACAAAAAAGAUAAGUCAGCUCCAUACUGCAGCCUGUCGAGCUCCUACAGGACCAUGGAAGCUCCCCAAGGUCCCCCUGGUCUUACCCCAAACCUCUUACUCUGCUAUGCUGAGUCCUGACCCCACUGCAGGUGCUGGCACCACACCAACUGAUUGCAGUGGCCGUGUCAACGUGGUGUUGGUGACACAGUGAGCCCCAAAUGGCCAAGGAAACCAUUUUCAGACCAGCAACCCGGUGAGCAGUGCUGUGCAGGGGAGGGCAGCACAGGGAAGCAGGGCAGGAGGCUGCUCCUUUCUUCCUUCCUCUCUGCCUUGCAGAUGGGCAUCUGCACCAACAUGGAACCAGAGCAGGACACACAACUGCCCUCAGCUCUCCAUCUGGUCUCCAUGCCAUACAGGACACACAAAUCAACCACAAACAGUGCCCUUGCUGCGUUCUAACAGAUCCUGGCAGCACCAAAGAUCCUCCUGCCCUCACCCCAACAUUUGAUACAGAUUUUCCUGAGCCCUGGCCCCACUGCAGCUGCUGGCAUCAGACCUGCUGAUUGCAGUGACCCUUUCCUCGCACGGCCAUGGAGAUGGACGGCAGACCAGCAACGCAGUGAGCAGGGCUGUGCAGGGGAGGGCAGCACAGGCGGCUGCUUCUUUGUUGCCUCUCUGCCUUGCAGAGACCUACACAAACACACCACAUGCCGAAAGACAUUGGGAGCUCCACACCACCCACCUUAGGAUGGAGUCAGGACCUUCAGUGCUGCACACAUCAGCACCUCGAGGAACCGGAUGGGCUGUGUAAAACAGAACUGUGAAGACGAGGACGGAACAAGAAGCUCCAAGGGAUGGACGGGCCCCAUUCACAGCUACCAGAGACACCACAGCCAGAAGAGAAGGAAGCACCGGAACAGAGCGCUCCUGAGACCCGCAAUGGAAGUUUAGCAGCCAUGAAGACCGUCAGCCUUCCUGCCUCGACCCCCAGACGGCCACCGAGAAGCUCUCACAGAAUUAAAGACUCAUUUAACGACCUUCAAAAUAAACGUUCUCCUUCAUUACACCCGUGGUGCUUCUUCCAUCUCAUGACAUCCAUACCGCAAACUCUGGGGAGGUUUCCUUAUUGUCACCAUCUCCUCAUUGUUACGCGUCUGUAUAUCAUGGAACCACAGAAUGGUUUGGGUUGGAAGGGACCUUGAAGCUCACCCCGUCCCAACCCUGCUGUAGGCAGGGACACCUCCCAUAGCCCAGGCUGCUCACAGCCCCAUCCAGUCUGGCCUUGAGUGCUUCCACAUUGCCAGCUCACGUUGAGUCUUCCAUCCACCGACACCCCCAAAUCCUUCUCCUCAGGGCUGCUCUCAAGCCAUUCUCUGCCCAACCUCCAUCUGUGCUUGGGAUUGCCCCCACCCAGCUGCAGGACCUUGCACUUGGCCUUGUUCAACUCCAUGAGGUCAUCAUGGGCCCACCUCUCCAUCCUGCCCAGGGCCCUCUGGAUGGCGUCCCUUCCCUCUGCACUGUCAAUUCUCCAUGCUUUCAUGGCAGAGCGUUCCACGAGGACAAAGAGCUCUGAAGAUCUCCUCUCCUUUGUAGCUGUCUUCUACACUUCUCCCCUCCAAAUUUUAUUUCUCAGAAAUUCAUCUGAAAGCCUUUGCAAGAAAACUACACUGCAAGCUGAACAACGCCAGCUGCACGUUGCUCUGGGAUUUGCACAACCCAUCCCACGUGGAAACCAUACAGAGUCACCAAAACUGACACUCAAAGAAACAAGAAAAACACACAGUGGGACCUUAAGAAGGGGGUAACACAGAACGCCCGUGAGCGGUACACAGGGACAAACUCAGGUCCCAGAUAAGACAAGAAGGGUCACAGAGGCAGCAGCGCAUGGAAGACAUGGAAUAUCUGAGAAGGAAUUACUCUGUCUGCAUCUGGAAAGGGACAGAGGCUGUCAGACUGCAGCAGUGGGAGCAAUGGCUGUGAACUUCAUGCUCACACAGCCUGAGUACCAAUGGGCACCAACUGAAGAACAACUCAGUGCUUUCUUUAUUACAUGCACGGCAGAAGGCAGCAGCCCCAUCCCAGGCAGCACCAGCCCUGCUAUGUCACAGCCACGUCACCAGGGCAGCCACCAGCUCCAGGAACCACCCUGCCGCUGGCACAGCCAUGUCACAAGAGCACAGCACUGCUGGGGGCUGCGUUCCAGAGCCAGCUUGGUGUCACAGCAGCCUGGAAUGCUGACCAGAAGGGCAGUGCCAGCCAGAGGGGGCUGCUGAGUACCCGAGUGAGCGAGGGCUGUGGGGGGCAGCAGCAGCCCAUGGCCAUGGAUGGCGGCUGCUCCUCCUCUGCCUCACAGCCACACACACGGACAGGGACACAGCAGCACGGCGAGAGCUCCUGUGCUCACCCACGGGACAGAUAAGUCACUCCCAACCCACACCCCACCUCACUCUGACAGGACCCUGGAAGCUCCUCAAGGACCCCCUGCCCUACCCCAAUGUUUGCUGCUGCUUCCCUGAGCCGGGACCCCACUGCAGGAGCUGGCAUCAGACGUGCUGACUGCAGUGACCCUUUCCACUCAUGGCCAUGGCAACGGCAGGCAGACCAACAAUGGUGAGCAGUGCUGUGCAGGGGAGGGCAGCACAGGGAAGCAGGGCAGGAGGCUGCUCCUUUCUUCCCUCCCCUCUGCCUUGCAGAUGGACAGCCCAACACAAAUGGCACCAGAUGACCAUAAGUGCUGCAGCUCAGCCUCCCAAACUGGUAUUCAUGCCCUACAAAAAAGAUAAGUCAGCUCCAUACUGCAGCCAGUCGUGCUCCUACAGGACCAUGGAAGCUCCCCAAGGUCCCCCUGGUCUUACCCCAAAACUUUCACUCUGCUAUGCUGAGUCCUGACCCCACUGCAGGUGCUGGCAUCAGACCUGCUGAUUGCAGUGGCCCUUUUCACACAGCCUUGGGGACACAGGCAGCCCCACAUGGCCAUGGCAGUGGCUGGCAGACCUGCAACACGGUGAGCAGUGCUGUGCAGGGGAGGGCAGCACAGGGAAGCAGGGCAGGAGGCUGCUCCUUUCUUCCUUGCCCUCUGCCUUGCAGAUGGACAGCCCAACACAAAAGGCACCAGAUGACCAUAAGUGCUGCAGCUCAGCCCCCCCAAACUGGUAUUCAUGCCCUACAAAAAAGAUAAGUCAGCCCCAUACUGCAGCCAGUCGAGCUCCUUCAGAACCAUAGAAGCUCCCCAAGGUCCCCCUGGUCUUACCCCAAACCUUUCACUCUGCUUUGCUGAGUCCUGACCCCACUGCAGGUGCUGGCACCACACCAACUGAUUGCAGUGGCCGUGUCAACAUGGCGUUGGUGACACAGUGAGCCCCAAAUGGCCAAGGAAACCAUUUUCGGACCAGCAACCCGGUGAGCAGUGCUGUGCAGGAGAGAGCAGCACAGGGAAGCAGGGCAGGAGGCUGCUCCUUUCUUCCUUGCCCUCUGCCUUGCAGGUGGGCAUCUGCACCAAGAUGGAACCAGAGCAGGACACACACCUGCCCUCAGCUCUCCAUCUGGUCUCCAUGUCACACAGGACAGAUAAGUCAGCCUCAAACAGUGCCCUUCUAGGGAUGCUGGCAGCUCCCCAAGAUCCCCUCGCCCUCACCUCAACAUUUGAUACAGCUUUGCUGAGCCCUGGCCCCAAUGCAGCUGCUGGCAUCAAACCUGCUGAAUGCAGUGGCCCUUUCCACACAGCCUUGGGGACACAGGCAGCCCCACACGGCCAUGGCAAUGGCUGGCAGACCUGCAACACGGUGAGCAGUGCUGUGCAGGAGAGGGCAGCACAGGGAAGCAGGGCAGGAGGCUGCUCCUUUCUUCCCUCCCCUCUGCCUUGCAGGUGGGCAUCCGCACCAACAUGGAACCAGAGCAGGACACACACCUGCCCUCAGCUCUCCAUCUGGUCUCCAUGCAGGACACACAAAUCAACCACAAACAGUGCCCUUGCUGCGUUCUAACAGAUCCUGGCAGCACCAAAGAUCCUCCUGCCCUCACCCCAACAUUUGAUACAGAUUUUCCUGAGCCCUGGCCCCACUGCAGGUGCUGGCACUGGACCUGCUGAUUGCAGUGACCCUUUCCUCGCACGGCCAUGGAGAUGGACGGCAGACCAGCAACGCAGUGAGCAGGGCUGUGCAGGGGAGGGCAGCACAGGCGGCUGCUUCUUUGUUGCCUCUCUGCCUUGCAGAGACCUACACAAACACACCACAUGCCAAAGACAUUGGGAGCUCCACACCACCCACCUUAGGAUGGAGUCAGGACCUUCAGUGCUGCACACAUCAGCGCCUCGAGGAACCGGAUAGAUUGUGGAAAACAGAACUGUGAAGACGAGGACGGAACAAGAAGCUCCAAGGGAUGGACGGGCCCCAUUCACAGCUACCAGAGACACCACAGCCAGAAGAGAAGGAAGCACCGGAACAGAGCGCUCCUGAGACCCGCGAUGGAAGUUUAGCAGCCAUGAAGACUGUCAGCCUUCCUGCCUCGACCCCCAGACGGCCACCGAGAAGCUCUCACAGAAUUAAAGACUCAUUUAACGACCUUCAAAAUAAACGUUCUCCUUCAUUA